rnacentral:rRNA from 1 species
UACGGGGGGGAGCAAGCGUUGUUCGGAAUUACUGGGCGUAAAGGGCUCGUAGGCGGCCAACUAAGUCGGACGUGAAAUCCCCCGGGCUCAACCUGGGAAUUGCAUUCGAAACUGCGAGGCUAGGGUACGGAAGAGGGAAGCGGAAUUUCUGGUGUAGCGGUGAAAUGCGUAGAUAUCAGAAGGAACAUCAGUGGCGAAAGCGGCUUCCUGGUCCAGUACCGACGUUCAGGCACGAAAGCGUGGGGAGCAAACAGG